GUCUUGGACUCCGGAUAGACCAGGAUGGCCUUGAAUUCAGAGAUCCACCUGCUGUGGCCUCCUAGACGCUGAGAUUAAAAGCAUUCACCACCAUGCUUGGGGUGCACUUUUCUACAUCACCUUGUAGAGAUUUCUGUUCUACUGGUACGAUACAGUUCAUCUGUGAUAGUGCAGACUUAAAGUCUAUCUCAGAGGGAAAAGGAGCAGUGAAAGAAAAUCGAUGGGUGUUCAAGAAAAUCCAAGAAUGGCAGUCAUAACUUGGAUGGAGUCUAAAAUAAAAGAUAUCCAAUCUGCUAUCUCUAAAGCAAACACCCAAGAAUGCGUGGUUAUGACACUUCACAGAGCAGCUGAGCAGUCUCCAUCCUGGAACAGUCAUUCUCGAUUUUGCAUGCAUGAAAUCUGUAAUGAAAUUGCAAAACCAUUUGGCUGGAGAAAUACAAGAGGCUGCAUAGAAGAGCUCUAGGAUAUGCAUGUGAAAUAGAUGAAAGGGAAUGACUGAUAUUCGUGAGGAGCUAAUUAUGUUAACAUCUCCUAGCAACAAUACUGUACCCAACAUUGACGUUAGCCAAACAACAGAUACAAAUGGAUGAACUGUUUCCACACUGAUUUAGACCUUGCUUAUAUUUGACUUUCAUCUUUUCUUAGUUUUGAACUUACAUGAUUGCCUAACACUUGCUCUGAACAGGUGACAAUAGACCUUCAAAGUGCUUUGCCGAGGGUAUAUUUGUAAUUUUGCUAUUCAUUAUGGGAUGGUGGUUCAGAACAUUGUGCUGUCUGUGUCUGUAAAAGGUUUCAUUAUGUAAUGAUAAGUCACUAACUUCUGAGUGUUUGCAAACCAGGAAACCCAUUUAAGUGUUGCUCCUGAAAGAUCAAGCAUGGGAGCUUAGUUCACAGAGGAUACAAAGGUCAGAUGUAGCUGUGGACUUUCUGGUUGGGUAAGGCACAAGUGAUAUAGCAACUAAGGUGUUUGAGAGAAUUCUACAACAGCCUGGGCCUGUACAUGCUAAGGAAUGAACAAAGAUAUCUUGUGAAGAAUGCAAACAGAUGCUCCCAGAAGGUUUAAGAUUGUUGAGACUCCAAGUGAUAGGGGGGUCAUCUCCCAGUGCUUAGGUGACUCACCUCCUUAAAGCUUUUGAUCAGAGGUCACAGAAGACCCUAAAACAAUAAAGGUCAAUGCCACUGC